rnacentral:rRNA from 1 species
UACGUAGGGGGCUAGCGUUGUCCGGAAUCAUUGGGCGUAAAGGGCGCGUAGGCGGCCUGAUCAAGUCGGAUGUGAAAUCCCUCGGCUCAACCGAGGAACUGCACCCGAUACUGGUUGGCUAGAGUCCGGGAGGGGGUAGCGGAAUUCCCAGUGUAGCGGUGAAAUGCGUAGAUAUUGGGAAGAACACCGGUGGCGAAGGCGGCUACCUGGACCGGUACUGACGCUGAGGCGCGAAAGCCAGGGGAGCGAAUGGG